rnacentral:lncRNA from 1 species
UGAGAUCGCCACUCGUAAGGAGUUUUUGGAUCUAGUUUGGUCGAGUCGAGUCGUGUGAGAGUGUCGUGUGAGAUUAUAAAUUAGUAUUUUUAUUUCAAUCAAAAGUAGAUAAAGUAGUAGUCUUCUUAAGUUUUUUGGAAGACUUAGGCCUAGAGCGCUACUCUAGCAUCUUUGUGAGAAGCAUGAAUAAUAUCGAGGAUCGUGCGAGUGUUUUUAUUGUCUACCUUUGCUUGCUUGUCUUUUAUUUUGUCUUUACAACUUUGGAUCAUAAGCACUGUCUUGAAUUCUAAAUCUUAGUUGUGGAGUUUAGUAAUUGAUUUGUUUAUGCAAUACCCAUGCUUUAUGAU